UACGUAGGUGGCAAGCGUUGUCCGGAAUUAUUGGGCGUAAAGCGCGCGCAGGCGGUCUUUUAAGUCUGAUGUGAAAGCCCACGGCUUAACCGUGGAGGGUCAUUGGAAACUGGAGGACUUGAGUGCAGAAGAGGAGAGUGGAAUUCCACGUGUAGCGGUGAAAUGCGUAGAGAUGUGGAGGAACACCAGUGGCGAAGGCGACUCUCUGGUCUGUAACUGACGCUGAGGCGCGAAAGCGUGGGUAGCGAACAGA
rnacentral:rRNA from 1 species